AGGCGUCCACACGGGUGCCCCACGAGGGGCUGAGACCGGACUGCGAUCGUCCGGGACCGUCGAACCUGAUCCGGUUGAUACCGGCGUAGGAAGUGAGGAGCGUAGCUGU
rfam:Corynebacterium glyciniphilum AJ 3170, complete genome.